GAUGAACGCUGGCGGCGUGCCUAAUACAUGCAAGUCGAGCGAACGGACGAGAAGCUUGCUUCUCUGAUGUUAGCGGCGGACGGGUGAGUAACACGUGGAUAACCUACCUAUAAGACUGGGAUAACUUCGGGAAACCGGAGCUAAUACCGGAUAAUAUUUUGAACCGCAUGGUUCAAAAGUGAAAGACGGUCUUGCUGUCACUUAUAGAUGGAUCCGCGCUGCAUUAGCUAGUUGGUAAGGUAACGGCUUACCAAGGCAACGAUGCAUAGCCGACCUGAGAGGGUGAUCGGCCACACUGGAACUGAGACACGGUCCAGACUCCUACGGGAGGCAGCAGUAGGGAAUCUUCCGCAAUGGGCGAAAGCCUGACGGAGCAACGCCGCGUGAGUGAUGAAGGUCUUCGGAUCGUAAAACUCUGUUAUUAGGGAAGAACAUAUGUGUAAGUAACUGUGCACAUCUUGACGGUACCUAAUCAGAAAGCCACGGCUAACUACGUGCCAGCAGCCGCGGUAAUACGUAGGUGGCAAGCGUUAUCCGGAAUUAUUGGGCGUAAAGCGCGCGUAGGCGGUUUUUUAAGUCUGAUGUGAAAGCCCACGGCUCAACCGUGGAGGGUCAUUGGAAACUGGAAAACUUGAGUGCAGAAGAGGAAAGUGGAAUUCCAUGUGUAGCGGUGAAAUGCGCAGAGAUAUGGAGGAACACCAGUGGCGAAGGCGACUUUCUGGUCUGUAACUGACGCUGAUGUGCGAAAGCGUGGGGAUCAAACAGGAUUAGAUACCCUGGUAGUCCACGCCGUAAACGAUGAGUGCUAAGUGUUAGGGGGUUUCCGCCCCUUAGUGCUGCAGCUAACGCAUUAAGCACUCCGCCUGGGGAGUACGACCGCAAGGUUGAAACUCAAAGGAAUUGACGGGGACCCGCACAAGCGGUGGAGCAUGUGGUUUAAUUCGAAGCAACGCGAAGAACCUUACCAAAUCUUGACAUCCUUUGACAACUCUAGAGAUAGAGCUUUCCCCUUCGGGGGACAAAGUGACAGGUGGUGCAUGGUUGUCGUCAGCUCGUGUCGUGAGAUGUUGGGUUAAGUCCCGCAACGAGCGCAACCCUUAAGCUUAGUUGCCAUCAUUAAGUUGGGCACUCUAAGUUGACUGCCGGUGACAAACCGGAGGAAGGUGGGGAUGACGUCAAAUCAUCAUGCCCCUUAUGAUUUGGGCUACACACGUGCUACAAUGGACAAUACAAAGGGCAGCGAAACCGCGAGGUCAAGCAAAUCCCAUAAGGUUGUUCUCAGUUCGGAUUGUAGUCUGCAACUCGACUACAUGAAGCUGGAAUCGCUAGUAAUCGUAGAUCAGCAUGCUACGGUGAAUACGUUCCCGGGUCU
rnacentral:rRNA from 1 species